GAAGUAAAAGUCGUAACAAGGUUUCCGUAGGUGAACCUGCGGAAGGAUCAUUACAAAUUAUGGCGAACCUCGCGUUUCACGAGGUCUGCGUCCAUUUUUUAUAUUUAAAACAUCCCACUCUUUAAAAAUAUUUAUCUAAUGAUAAAAAUAAAAAGGAUCACUUUCAACAACGGAUCUCUUGGCUCUCGCAUCGAUGAAGAACGUAGCGAAGUGCGAUAUGUAAUGUGAAUUGCAGAAUUCCGUGAAUCAUCGAAUUUUUGAACGCAAAUUGCACUCUCCUCGGAGAGUAUGCCUGUUUGAGGGUCAGCCUAAAAAAAAUCGACAUCGUUGCUGUUUCGCGGUAACGUUCGUCGGAAAUUGGGUCAUCUUAAACCUUUUGGUUUAAGCGACUUAAAAUUUUCUUUUUGAUUCCAUAAACGUUUCUAAGAUUUAUUUCUUUACACGUUUAAGGUAUUAAUUUAUUAGACGUGGCCGUCAUAUCGGAUCACGUCCAUAAUCUUUCAUUAACUGACCUCAGACAGGUAAGAGUACCCGCUGAACUUAAGCAUAUCAAUAAGCGGAGGA
rnacentral:rRNA from 1 species